UUAAGAAAAUGAUUCCAAAAGUUGAAAGAUUCCAGUUCAAUCUAUUCAGUGCAUUAUGUGAUACCGUCUGUUGCAAAUGAGGAUUUGAAAUCUUUUUUCGAAGAGGAAACAGGUCAAUCGGAGAACUAUAUUUAUAAAGUGAUGGUGAAGGAGGCAAUGAUAACAAU